GACGAACGCUGGCGGCGUGCUUAACACAUGCAAGUCGAGCGAUGAAGUUCCUUCGGGAAUGGAUUAGCGGCGGACGGGUGAGUAACACGUGGGUAACCUGCCUCAUAGAGGGGAAUAGCCUUUCGAAAGGAAGAGUAAUACCGCAUAAGAUUGGAGUAUCGCAUGAUACAGCAAUUAAAGGAGUAAUCCGCUAUGAGAUGGACCCGCGUCGCAUUAGCUAGUUGGUGAGGAAACUGCUCACCAAGGCGACGAUGCGUAGCCGACCUUAGAGGGUGAUCGGCCCCAAUGGGACUGAGACACGGCCCAGACUCCUACGGGAGGCAGCAGUGGGGAAUAUUGCACAAUGGGGGAAACCCUGAUGCAGCAACGCCGCGUGAGUGAUGACGGUCUUCGGAUUGUAAAACUCUGUCUUCAGGGACGAUAAUGACGGUACCUGAGGAGGAAGCCACGGCUAACUACGUGCCAGCCGCCGCCGUAA
rnacentral:rRNA from 1 species